UUACGACCAUAUCACGUUGAAACACUGGUUCUCGUACGAUCACCGAAUUAAGCAACGUCGAGCCUGGUCAGUACCUAGAUGGGUGACCGCUUGGGAAUACCAGGU